UUAAGUGACUAAGCGUACACGGUGGAUGCCUGGGCAGUCAGAGGCGAUGAAGGACGUACUAACUUGCGAUAAGCGCAGAUAAGGCAGUAAGAGCCGUUUGAGUCUGCGAUUUCCGAAUGGGGAAACCCAACUGCAUAAGCAGUUACUGUUAACUGAAUACAUAGGUUAACAGAGCAAACCGGGGGAACUGAAACAUCUAAGUACCCCGAGGAGAAGAAAUCAACCGAGAUUCCGGUAGUAGCGGCGAGCGAACCUGGAUUAGCCCUUAAGCACUCGGUGAAGUAGGUGAACAAGCUGGAAAGCUUGGCGAUACAGGGUGAUAGCCCCGUAACCGACGCUUCAUCGAGCGUGAAAUCGAGUAGGGCGGGACACGUGAUAUCCUGUCUGAAUAUGGGGGGACCAUCCUCCAAGGCUAAAUACUCCUGACUGACCGAUAGUGAACCAGUACCGUGAGGGAAAGGCGAAAAGAACCCCUGUGAGGGGAGUGAAAUAGAACCUGAAACCGUGUACGUACAAGCAGUAGGAGCACCUUCGUGGUGUGACUGCGUACCUUUUGUAUAAUGGGUCAGCGACUUAUAUUCAGUGGCAAGGUUAACCGUAUAGGGGAGCCGUAGCGAAAGCGAGUCUUAACUGGGCGCUCAGUCUCUGGAUAUAGACCCGAAACCGGGUGAUCUAGCCAUGGGCAGGUUGAAGGUUGAGUAACAUCAACUGGAGGACCGAACCGACUAAUGUUGAAAAAUUAGCGGAUGACUUGUGGCUAGGGGUGAAAGGCCAAUCAAACUCGGAGAUAGCUGGUUCUCCCCGAAAGCUAUUUAGGUAGCGCCUCGGACGAAUACUACUGGGGGUAGAGCACUGUUAAGGCUAGGGGGUCAUCCCGACUUACCAACCCUUUGCAAACUCCGAAUACCAGUAAGUACUAUCCGGGAGACACACGGCGGGUGCUAACGUCCGUCGUGGAGAGGGAAACAACCCAGACCGCCAGCUAAGGUCCCAAAGUAUUGCUAAGUGGGAAACGAUGUGGGAAGGCUCAGACAGCUAGGAUGUUGGCUUAGAAGCAGCCAUCAUUUAAAGAAAGCGUAAUAGCUCACUAGUCGAGUCGGCCUGCGCGGAAGAUGUAACGGGGCUAAGCAAUACACCGAAGCUGCGGCAAUGUCUUUUAGACAUUGGGUAGGGGAGCGUUCUGUAAGCCGUUGAAGGUGAAUCGUAAGGUUUGCUGGAGGUAUCAGAAGUGCGAAUGCUGACAUGAGUAACGACAAAGGGGGUGAAAAACCUCCUCGCCGGAAGACCAAGGGUUCCUGUCCAACGUUAAUCGGGGCAGGGUGAGUCGACCCCUAAGGUGAGGCCGAAAGGCGUAAUCGAUGGGAAACGGGUUAAUAUUCCCGUACUUCUGACUAUUGCGAUGGGGGGACGGAGAAGGCUAGGUGGGCCAGGCGACGGUUGUCCUGGUUCAAGUGCGUAGGCUUGAGAGUUAGGUAAAUCCGGCUCUCUCUAAGGCUGAGACACGACGUCGAGCUACUACGGUAGUGAAGUCAUUGAUGCCAUGCUUCCAGGAAAAGCCUCUAAGCUUCAGAUAGUCAGGAAUCGUACCCCAAACCGACACAGGUGGUCGGGUAGAGAAUACCAAGGCGCUUGAGAGAACUCGGGUGAAGGAACUAGGCAAAAUGGUACCGUAACUUCGGGAGAAGGUACGCUCUUGAUGGUGAAGUCCCUCGCGGAUGGAGCUGACGAGAGUCGCAGAUACCAGGUGGCUGCAACUGUUUAUUAAAAACACAGCACUGUGCAAAAUCGCAAGAUGACGUAUACGGUGUGACGCCUGCCCGGUGCCGGAAGGUUAAUUGAUGGGGUUAGCGCAAGCGAAGCUCUUGAUCGAA
rnacentral:rRNA from 1 species